rnacentral:rRNA from 1 species
UACAGAGACUGCGAGCGUUAUUCGGAUUCACUGGGCGUAAAGGGUGCGCAGGCGGCCAAGUGUGUUAGGCGUGAAAGCCUGGGGCUUAACCUCAGAAUUGCACCUAAAACUACAUGGCUAGAGCAUUGGAGAGGGUAGCGGAAUUCACGGUGUAGCAGUGAAAUGCGUAGAUAUCGUGAGGAACACCAGAGGCGAAGGCGGCUACCUGGACCAUUACUGACACUGAAUAGCGAAAGCCAGGGGAGCAAACGGG